CGCAGCCGCGGUAAUUCCAGCUCCAAUAGCGUAUAUUAAAGUUGUUGCAGUUAAAAAGCUCGUAGUUGAAUUUCGGGAUCAAAUUGUCGGUCGUGCCUCGGUACGUACUGGCGUUAUUGGUUCCUCCCUUCUGAAGAACCGCGAUGUCAUUAAUUUGGUGUCGCGGGGAAUCAGGACUGUUACUUUGAAAAAAUUAGAGUGUUUAAAGCAGGCUCGCGCUUGAAUACAUUAGCAUGGAAUAAUGAAAUAGGACGUUUGAUUCUAUUUUGUUGGUUUCUAGGAUCGACGUAAUGAUUAAUAGGGAUAGUUGGGGGCAUUAGUAUUCAAUUGUCAGAGGUGAAAUUCUUGGAUUUAUUGAAGACUAACUACUGCGAAAGCAUUUGCCAAGGAUGUUUUCAUUAAUCAAGAACGAAAGUUAGGGGAUCGAAGACGAUCAGAUACCGUCGUAGUCUUAACCAUAAACUAUGCCGACUAGGGAUCGGAUGAUGUUAAUUUUUUAAUGACUCAUUCGGCGCCUUAC
rnacentral:rRNA from 1 species